CUCGCUUUUCAUAACUUCCUGAGCAAACAAAAACACCAGGCGCUAAGCUGACGGUGCGGGCAGUAGUAUAUAGUCCAUAAAUGUGCAUUUAACUCUUGCGAGGAAUACUAAGAGGGAGGGGGAGCGACGGCUGCUUUGUGGAAGAACUGAGAAGGCGGCGCAAAGUGAAAACAUGGGCAGUGAGCCACCAUCCUCAGCACACUCAGGCAGAGGUUUACCCAGCGAGACGACGGAGUGCUUCAUAUGCAGGGAGGCUGAACUUCAAGCCCGUGACCCGCUGAGGCAUUUCUGCGACUGCAAGAAUUUACUUGCCCAUCACGUGUGUCUGUCCACGUGGAUCCUGAAGGGAUGCGAGAGCGGAAACCGGCUGCGCUGCAUUAUCUGCAAAGCCAAGGGCUCGCAGACUGCAUCAUUCUUUUUAGGGGGAUCAUUUCUUUCUCUUUCUCCGUUUCUUAUUGAUAUGAUGCCAAAAAUAUGCUCCCAGGGCUAUCAUUUUUCUGCGUCCGUUUGCAAAAGCGGAGGCCUAAGAGGAUUUAUCUUCGUGACCCAUCACACAAAGACAAUGAGCCGCAGAAUAGCGGCGUCCGACUGGGAGGACCGAGAGUGGGCGCACCCAGCCGUCCUCAGGCGUCCCUCUAAAGGCGGCCUCAUGUUACAGUACCAGCUGCAGAGGACCUCUCCAUGGCGCUCGGUGAGCUCCCAGUGGCAGACGUGGCUGAUGCUGAUCACCGGCUUGGCUUUAAUGGGUCUGGUACCUUAUGUAGUUCACUGCAUGAUGACUGCCUUCACCAGGCCUCCUCCGCCCACCACCUUCAAAGUGGCAGCCGCUGCUUAUGGUCUGCUGGCAGAGAUCCUGCUGAUCAAGUGUCUGUGCAGCUACCUCAGCGGCUGUUACCGGCGGGCGGAGCAAAGCGCGUUCACGAUCCGGGCCAGAGGCCCCGAGGAGCACGGGACGAGCCUGGCCUGCUGAAAGCGGUCCGAGGCCUCAGCAGAGGCAGGCCGCGCUUCACCGGAGGGGGAAAGUGGACGAAAGGAAAGAGGGGACGUCUCGGCUUCUUCUGGACCAGUAACCAGGAAACGGGUUGAGAGUAAAUCCUGUGGAUGGUACCCACGGACAACAGCUUCGCCGUGGCAGUCACGAGAUCGAACACUUUAAAACCUAUUUUAGAGGCAAACACAUUCACAUUCCAUCGGCUGAUGAACGAGCGAGCAGGACCGGUUGGCGUAGUGAGCGUUAUGAUUGAGAAGCCGAGUGAGCUGUGGACCCUCCGGGAGCGCAGAGAAAGCCCUCAUUUUCUGACAGCGCUUUAUUUUCUCCAGCAACCAAACAUCCCUUUUAAAAGGCCUUUUAUUCCAAGUGCAAUCAGCACUUUAAACAUUUCUUCUAGAUGUUAUUCGUCUGAUGUUCUUGUGUUUUGGUACGUCAGUUUCACUCUGUCAGCUCCCAACACCGUACCUCAUAGAGGUCACCGAUAUGCAGGUUUUUAUUUUGGGCGGUGGGACUAGUUUUGAAGAAUCUCAAUGUCUUUGUGCUUUUGGACUAUUUUCAGUUGUGAAUUAAUAGGCUUUUGGUGUUCUUAUUGAGUAUCAGGGGCAUCAGGAGAGCAUAUGAGGGAUUGACUAAUUACAAUCUGCAGUGCUUUUUUUUAUGGUAAGAAUCCACAUCCACUAGAAGAGUGGAUACAAAGAUAAACACACUAUUUAGGCCUUUUCGUGGGUUUGUUGAGUACAGCAGGCUUGUUAAAGGACACAUAUUCAUACUUUUGGAGAUCAGGGUCAAGACUUUUACCCUUUUCAUUAAAGGUCGACGCCUUCGAUUUCUCCUUGAGCCAAUUGUCCAUUGGAGUGCAAACACAAGCGAUCGGGCCACAUCUUCAAAACCCUUUGGUUAAUGGUCAUGUUUUUACUGCAUGCUUUCGGUUAUUGAGUUGUUCUGUGCAAAAUUAACGCUGAUAAAAAUAUCCUGAUGGAAUCAUCUGACUUCUUUGCCCCCAAGAGACAUAGAAAAGUGUUCUCCUCAAUGCAUAAUGUUAUCCUUCAAUGUACUGCAACAAAUGCUCCUCUAUAAAACAAUUGCAUGUAGAAUUAAAUAAAUGUCAGUAUGGAAAAACGGAGUCUGCCUCUCUAUCUGAUGUUUGCACUGAGUCAUCUUCUAUCUGUGUU
ensembl:lncRNA